GACAGAGGUGCCGAGCGUUAGGCGGAAUCACUGGGCUUAAAGCGUGUGUAGGCGGAUCUGUAAGUACCUUGUGAAAAUCCCCACGGCUCAACCGUGGAACUGCUUGGUAUACUGCGGGUCUUGAGCCACCUAGGGGCAAGUGGAACAAACGGUGGAGCGGUGAAAUGCGUAGAUAUCGUUUGGAACGCCAAUGGUGAAAACAACUUGCUGGGGGUGUGCUGACGCUGAGACACGAAAGCCAGGGGAGCAAACGGG
rnacentral:rRNA from 1 species